rnacentral:rRNA from 1 species
AUACGGAGGGUGCAAGCGUUACUCGGAAUCACUGGGCGUAAAGCGCGCGCAGGCGGGCUGAUAAGUUGGAUGUGAAAGCCUACGGCUCAACCGUAGAACCGCAUCCAAAACUGUCAGUCUAGAGUGUGGGAGAGGAAGAUGGAAUUAGUUGUGUAUGGGUAAAAUCCGUAGAGAUAACUAGGAAUACCAAAAGCGAAGGCAAUCUUCUGGAACACUACUGACGCUGAGGCGCGAAGGCGUGGGGAGCAAACAGGAUUAGAUACCCUAGUAGUCC